rnacentral:rRNA from 1 species
GUAGGUGGCAAGCGCUGUCCGGAAUUAUUGGGCGUAAAGCGCGCGCAGGCGGUUCUUUAAGUCUGAUGUGAAAGCCCACGGGCUCAACCGUGGAGGGUCAUUGGGAACUGGAGAACUUGAGUACAGAAGAGGAAAGCGGAAUUCCACGUGUAGCGGUGAAAUGCGUAGAGAUGUGGAGGAACACCAGUGGCGAAGGCGGCUUUCUGGUCUGUAACUGACGCUGAGGCGCGAAAGCGUGGGGAGCAAACAGGAUUAGAUACCCUGGUAGUCCACGCCGUAAACGAUGAGUGCUAAGUGUUAGGGGGUUUCCGCCCCUUAGUGCUGCAGCUAACGCAUUAAGCACUCCGCCUGGGGAGUACGGCCGCAAGGCUA